rnacentral:lncRNA from 1 species
GCAUUAUUGAAAAAGAGACAUAAUUUGAUAUUGAAUUAAAAAAAAAACAAUAUUAAAUAAUUAACACUUAAUAAAUUGUAUCAGAGUUCAUUUUAUUUGAUACUUUCACAAUGGGUUUCUUUUAAAUAUACACCUGUCUCGGACACAUAAUUUCACAGUGUAACAUGUAUAUUAGGCUUGAAUUAUUCGAUGGUCAGGUAAAUCACAACCUGUUAAAACUGAAGAGUUUUAUUUGACACCUGGUACACAAGAAGUUGUUACACCACAGGUGUCCACACUAUUUCCGAAAAUACUAUUUACAAAAUAUAUAAAAUUAAUUAAUGUGUAGAAAAAAAUAAUUAAUUUGUUUGUUUAUCGUUAAUCAUGAUCGACUUCGUCUUAUAUUCAUAAUUUGUAUAGAUCAUUAAAAAUUGAAUACUUAUUGUGUUCAUUAUUAAUUGGGCUUGUAUUAAGUUUUUUUCUAUGAUUGUCGGUAAAUUGUUUUCUAAGUGUGUUUUUUUUUCAAAAUUUACAUUAUGAGCUUGCAUUGAGUUUUUUUUUUUUUAUGAUUGUCGGUUUAUUUAUGGUUUCUCCUUUUCACGGAUUGUGUAUUUAGGACUUACAUUUAAUGAUCAUUUAAUAGAAAAUGGCAAUAUAAGUCUCACUUUUGACCUCGAAUAGAAAGAGAUUAAACCAUAUUUUAAGUGUAAGGAACUGAUAAAUAUACGAUAAAGACUCAGAGCAGCAGGUAUUGCUGCCUUUUCAUGUAACAAUUUUUGUAAGAAGAAACAUUUUACUAUGUUAUACUUCUGUCAGCUUGGUAAGUUGACUUCAAAGCAUACACCAGUUUUAAUGCCAC